GUUAAAUUCAUAAAUGCUAAGGUCUCAAACAUAUCUGGCAUUCACCUGAAAUGACCACAGUGAGUCUUUUUUUCAAUACCUCCCUUAGGGUCUCAGGGAAGUAAUUCUUAACUCCAGGCCUAUGUUCCAGACAUGCCAUUUAUGACCUAAAGCAACAGGAGGAAAAUUCUCCCUUCCCAGCCUUAGCUGAUCUUCCUUGUUAGAGGUCCUUUUAAAAAAACAACAGGAAGGAAAAAAGAAAAAAGGAACCUACAGUGGGGAAGCCUGAAGCUGCAACACAAAUAAUGAUUAUUCCUGUCAAGGUUUAGCUGUGGUUGCUAAGUUACUGGCCUGUUCUGAAAAACCUUGAAGUAUGGGACACAUUAGGUGCUCGUUAGGCCCUGGUGACUUGCAAGAAAUGUACAAUUUGUCUCUGUGCUAAAUACACUUCAAAACUAACAAUACAAAACCCCACAUGGGCUUAAAAUUUGUGACCUUUCUCCUCCUUGUUUUGUUUCUCCUCCUCCUCAUCCAACGUCUCGUAGUCUGGUGUUAUUACAAAAGCAGCACUACUGGAAAAAUAAACAGAAGCAUUUUUUGCAAUUGAUGGGAACACGAUAUAUUGGCUUAAAGCCUUUGGCAUUUAAUGAAGGUGUUCCCAGAGAGAACCUCAUAAAGGGUUGAGAAAAACUAAAAGAAGAUGCUGUAAUAAUUGUUUACAGUGCAAGCUGCAGGCCCAUCAGCUCCCUUUCAGAGAGCACCCACAGUGUGUGUAUACUAGGCUGCAAAACCUUCCAGGAAAGCAAAGCACUUGACUGUUUUAUCUUAUGCUUGUAUCCGUUUUCUAUUUAUCCCGUUAACAUUGUCCAGUUCACAGAUCUUGGAGUAAAUGUAGAGACUUCUAUUUUCAAUUCAAAAUUAUGGUAUGUGAGGAUAUGUAGGGAGUAUCACAUUCUUUUCAGCCCAAACUUGAUUAGGGUUUUAAUUUCUAAACUAUUUCCAUGGGUGGUCGGGCUUCCAUUUCUCCCUUCAAUUGCUGCAGCCAUAUUUCUACUCACACUAACUGUGACCCUUGCUGCAGGUUGCAACUUCCUAAAGUUUUGAUGAGAUAGUGUCAGUACGAACGAAAUAGUAGAGGCAGUGCAGUUGGGGGAAAUGGGUAAGAGAUAAUGGGAUAUGCAGGGAUAAAGAGUAGGUGCCAGGAGAGAGGAGAGAAAGGAAGAAAAGAGGAAGUGCCAGAAGACAUCUUGGGACAGUCUCUAGCUGCUACAAAGCUGGCAAAUUGCAGAGACAGGAAGUAGCCAUUGAGAAUUUUCCUGUGACUACCUCAUUCAAACAAGAUUCUCUAGCAUUUGGGAAGUUGACUCAAAGGCUUACAAAGUAAGACAGUAAGGCUUACAAAGGAGAAUCAGUCACAUUUCCUGGACUCACUUCAUAAAUCUACCUUAAUCUUUAGCUGUGUUGAUCUGCAAUCUGAGGCAAAGGUACCAUUUGGCUCUGAGAGAACUUCCUAAGAUGAUUAGAUCUGAACUGCCUCAAAAGGAAAAUUUUUUCUGUUCUGGUGCCAGUAAUCAAUGGGAAAUCAAAUGGCAUUUUAAAAAAUCUCAAAGCAAAAAUGAUCCUAGAUGAAAUUCUUUCCUCGUUACUUACAUACAUGUAUGUACAUGCAUACAUACAUCUUUUCCUUUCUUAAUAAAGAUAUCUUUCUAAGAGACUACCACACAUAGCCAUUGGAAUAACUUUGCCCUUCUCUUCUUGGCCCCAAAUAAGAGUCUGGAUUCUCUCAAAGCAUCUGUGCUAUUCUCUUCAGAUAAUUCACCUUCCAAAAUCUCUCUCCUCUUAUCCCUACAGUUCUUUGACAGGCGUGCCUUCAUGUGUGACGUGUUCUCACAUUAAACAAAGUUUCCAAUGAAAAAAGAAUCUCCAUAUCAACUCCCUUCUGCUUAAGGAGGAAAAAAACAAGCUAAAGUAAAACAGAAUAUAUACUUUGGAAGGUGGAUGAUACCAUGUGCUGUUAAGAAGAGAUUCUAGUUUCUCAGUUUGCCAAGCUAUAUCUGCUGUUACAACAUAAUAUUUUCAUAAGUAGUGGGACUUUUUUGUUUGUUUUAGAAAUUAUUCAUGAUUGUAGUGGACUGGGUUAAUUUGCUAUAUUUGGCUAUCCAGCACACAGUAUAUUCCAUUAAUAAAUAACAUUGCCUAGUCACAGGUGUAGACAUAUGACUUAGGUUUAGCCAUCAACAACUACUAUUCAAGCAGAACAAGCAAGAAUUCUUUCUGGAACUGAUAUUCAGAGGUUGAGAGAAGAAGUUCCUCUCUCUUUCCACUGGGUUUGCUAAAUUGGGAGGAUGUGAACCUGUAGCUGACAGUUGCCAUCUUGAAGAAAGCCUUCUACUACAGCAUAAAGCCCAAAAGAGACAGGCAGUCAUGAAAAAUAGGCAGUGUGAAUUUUGACAGCACAAGGUCAGGAUUCCAGGACCAGAAGCCCUGAUUCCACCGGCUCGCUCUGUCCAGCUUCAUCAGUUUUCCCCAUCUACAUUCCUACCAUCAUAGAGACAUGAUAUAAUACCUUUCAUCUUACAAUCAAGGCAAAAAGUUAAAAAGACUUUAACUCUAUAGCACUCCAAACACUAGCCCAUUUCCCUGCAACCUCUUUGCAAGAGUAGUCUAUGACCACUGACUCCAAUUCUACCCAUCCCCUUUCUUCUUUUCAAAUUUCAAUUAUAUUAUCUUUGGUCCAUUCAUAAGACUAUGUGCAGCACCUUUUACAUUAUGAAGCGUAAUAAUGCAACUUAAGAUUGAUAAAUUACCAAUUCUGUUUCAUCUGUCCCUGUGUUCCUUUAUAUUCCAUUCUAUUGCCUUCCCUAGAGGAAAGGUAACCACUACCUUAAAUUUUGUAUGUAUCAUUCCUUUCUUUUUUAAUUAUUAAUGGCUUUCUCUUUAUAGUUUUCCACAAACAAUAUAGUAUCUCCCUUGAAUGAUUCAAGUCAGGCUUCUGUGUCUACUUCUUCACUGAUACUGCCCUUGGACUGGUCACCAGCCAUCUCCACCUUGCAAAAUCCAAGAGUAAAUCCUCAGUCAUCAUUAUCUGGACCUAUCAAGAUCACUUGACAUGCCUCAGUAUUGCCUCUCUUUUGAAUAUCUUGGUCUGUGGGGAACCACUAUGCAUUGGUUUUCUGCUUACCUCAUUGACUGAUCCUUCUCAGUCCCUUUUGCUGGAUGCUCCCCACUUUUCUAACAUUUCUACCUGUAGAAAAGUCCUAAGGCUCAGGCUUUUCUCUCUUAUCUGUACUCAUUUCUGGAUAACCUCAUCUAGGCCAUAGCUAUAAAGUUGAUGACUUCAAAAUAUGUAUUUUCAUCUGUAAACUCUUCCCUGAAUUCUAGGUUUGCUUAUCCAACUGACAACUCUGUCUCGCUUGGAUGUUCAACACCAUACCAUGCUUAACAUGUGGAAAAUCGAGCUCUUUAUCACCUCCCUCUUCCUCAGUCUUUCCAUUUCAGUAAUGGAAACUUCACUCUUUCAGUCGCUCAGUCCAAAACCUCUGAAUCAAACUUGACUCCUCUCUAGUUUACACCUACAUUCUAACCAUUAGCAAAUCCAAUUUUCUCCUCCUCAAAAUAAAUCCAGAAUCCAACCUCUUUCUAUCACUCUGUUAUUACCACUCCAGGGCAAAUCACCAUCUUAUGUUAGUCAGGGUUCUCCAGAGAAACAGAACCAGUAGAAUAUAAAUAUAGAUAUAGAUAUAAAUAUAGGAAUGCAUAGAUACAGACAUAGACUUAUAUAUAAGAAGAGAUUUAUUAUAGGAAUUGGCUCACGCAGUUAUGGAAGCCAAGAAUUCCCAUGAUCUGCCAUCUGCAAGCUGAAGAACCAGGAAAACCAGUGGUGUAAUUCAGUCUGAAUCUGAAGGCCUGAGAAUGGGGGCAAAGCCAGAUGGUGUAAGUCCCACUGUGAGUCAGAAAGCCCAAGAAGCAGGAGCACUGAUGCCCACGGGCAGGAGAAGAUGGAUGUCUCAGCUCAAGCAGAGAGAGAAUUUGACCUUCUUCUGCCUUUUUGUUCUAAUCAAGCCCUCAAUAGGUAGAUGAUGCUCAGCUGCAUUGAUGGGGGUGAGCAUCUUUACUCAGCCUACUGAUUCAAAUGCUAACCUCUUCUGGAGACAUCCUCAUGGACAUGCCCAGAAAUAAUGUUUUACCAGCUCCUGGGCAAACCUUAGACCACGCAAGUCAACACGUAAAAUUAACCAUCACAUCUCUCUUGGACUAUUGCAAUGACCUAACUCUUAUUUUUCUCUUUGUCACUCUCUAUAGUCUUUUCUUCACACAGUAGACAGAGUGACCUUUUAAAAAACCUAGUCCCAUCAUACUACUUCUCUGCUCAAAACCCAUCAUUGGCUUUCCAUCUUGCUCAGAGUAGAAGCUAAAAUCUUUAUCACAGCCUAGUAUGUCCUUUGUGAUCUUAUUCUGGUUCCAUAUCUGACUUCGUCUCCUGUACGCUUCCCCUCAUAACCUCUACUCCAACCGUCAAAGCCUAUGUGUUAUUUGUCAAACAUGCCAAACCUGUUGCUGUCUCUUGCCCUUGGUAUUUACUAUUCCUUCUACAAGAUCCAGGCUACUUCUGGACUGCCUCAUGACUCUCUUCCACUUCAUUCAUAUCUCUGCUCUAAUGACAUCUUAUCAGAAAAGCUUUAUGUGGCAACCCUCUCUAAAAAGUCACUCUUCCCCCUAUUUCUAUACUCUCCCUCUCUCUAUCAUCUGUCAUCUCUCUAUAGAUAGAUAGAUAGAUAGAUAGAUAGAUAUAGAUAUAGACCUGAUUUGUUUAAUGUCUAACAAUGUUCUUAAUCUAGGCACUAUUGACAUUUUGGCCUGGAUAAUUCUUUGUCAUGAUGGCUUUCCUGUGCAUUAGAAGAUGUUUAGCAGUGUCUUUGGCUGUACUCACUAGAUGUCAUUAGCACCAGUUGUGACAAAUAAAAAUGUCUCAAGACAUUGCCAAAUGCCUCUUUAGGGGUAAAAUCACCCUAGUUGAGUGCCACUGUUCUAAACCCAAGUGAGUAUAAGCUUCAGGAAAGCAAGGACAUUGUAUCUUUACUGUUGAUAGCUAUGUUACCAAUAUACAGCAAGUGCUCAAAAAUGUUCAAGUGAGUGAAAGCAUGGAUUCUGUGAGUUAUCUCAGUAUUCUUUUCAUUAACGUGAGCCAACAAGUUCCCUUUUUGCUUACCUUUGUUUGAAAUGGCUUUUUUGUCUCUCACAACAGAAAAAUUUCUCAGACUAUUUGGAAAAUAUAGAAAGAUUAUAUAUGGCAAUAUAAAUAAUAAGAUUUCUAAGAUGACAAAGAUCAUUAAUUUAAAAUAGCCAGAUUUUUACAUUAAUGCACUGGGAUAAAUGUGGUCUGGAGAAAUGAUCUUCAAAAGGGCAAAUUUUCUAUAGUUAAAGUGGUUGGUUCUCCAAAGUAUACUAGGCUGACGCUCAGAAAUGUCACUCAUUACACUUUUCUCAGUAAAAUUAUUUUGGUACUCUAAUAAGAAGAUGCUUGUUUGGGCACCAUCAUGUUGAAAAAUAGUUCAUCUUCCACUCAUUCUCUAAUCUUGUGCUGAAACACUGAUAUAGUACAAUUCUUCUAAAGUAAUCCUGGAGCUACAUACAUGAUUAAGUCAGAAACUUUCCUUUGAGAUGUUUACAGCUUAGUGAAGGAAAGACACAUGUAAAGAGAUAGUUGCAAUCAACUGUGGGGGAUGCUUUACUAAAGAUAUGUAUCUAUAUUUGUAUCUAUAUCUAUAUCCCUAUCUAUAAAUGCAAGAGCAGAGGACAAAGCAGUAAACUACACCUAGGAAGCUGACCAGGCCUCUUCAGAGAGGUGACAUUUGCCCUGGAGUUUUGUAUAAUGAGUAGGUGAUGGAUGACUAGAUGUUCACCUGAUGAAUGAAGGAAUUAAGACUAUUCCUGGCAGAGAGAAUAACAUGUAAAAGGUUUGGAGGUGUGAUGGAAUUUCAUAUAUAAAGGGAAUCCUGAGUGAUUAUGUGUAGUUGGGGUACACAAUGUGUAAGGAGGAGGCCUAGGAAAAGAAGAAGUUGAGAUACAUGAGGGCAAGUCAUAAAGGGCCUUAUAAGUCCCAUUGGACUUUACCCCAUAGAUGAAUUGUAUCCAUCCUACUUUUGUAGGAAAGAGAGUUGUAUGCUCAGACAUGUGUUUUUGGAAGGCCACUCUUCAUCUCUGUGGUUAGUAUAUGGUGGGGGAAGACACAAAAGGAAGGAUGUUCAGUUAAAAGUCUACCACAACCUUCCAAGGAAGGAAAACAAAGAAGCAAAGUAAACCAGGAGCAAUGAGGAUGGAGAGCUGAGUGUGGAUUAGAGUAAUAUUUAUAUGAGUGAAUUCACAAAUUAGGUGAUUGACUGGGAUGUGAAAGAGAGAAAGAGUCAAAGAUACCCCUGAGAAUCCUAUCUUGGGCAAUUUGGGACUGAAAGUAUUGUGGCAGUGAUCACAUGGAGUAAGAAAAAGAACCUGCCCAUGAAAUCUGUUCAUGAUCAGAGCAGUGCGUGGUUUUCAGAUAUUUUUUAGUUGCUGUGAAUACUGAUCACUGUUAUUCAGAUGGGAAAUUCAGAUGGAACAGGAAAAAAUAUUAACUCUCUGAGGUAUCUCUGUACUAGUGUCAUAUUUUAAAAAGAUAGUAUGGCUUUGAAAUCUUGAUGCUGAAAUCACAAAGCAGACUCUUAAAAUAUCAACUGUCUUUGGCUGAACCCUUUUGAAGAAAUGACUCCCAGCUCCCCAUGUUUAUGAACUCCUUCAUGGACAGUCACGGCAACUUAUUUUCCUGGCUUCAGCCCAUCUCUGUAACUUCUCCACUUUUAUGUGUGUCUCACUCAAACUAAAUUAUAUGUGUGACUUGGCAAGUCUUAGGUAUGCUGUUAGUGAGUUAACACUGCCACCUAGCAUCUGAAAGUGAUCUUUGUUCCUCUUGUAACAAGAGAUUGCCAGUCUCUCCUUCUCCAGACACAAUUUCCAGAACUCCUACGUUGAAAAGAGCUUGUUUAUGAUUAAUUAGCUUUGCAAGUGAAGAGCAUCGCAUUUUUACAUCAACAUUUUGGAGUCCUGUGCUAAAUGUUUGGAGUGUCCUUCACUGGAAAGUGCUAGAGAGAAGUCAGGGCAGUUAUCUGUUCGUCUGUUUGCUGUGUAUGCAUGUAUGUUCCACUUCAGGAUGGAGAGAAGAGGGAGGGAAGGGGGCAGACUGCAAAGGAAAGAAAACAC
rnacentral:lncRNA from 1 species